rnacentral:rRNA from 1 species
GAUGAACGCUAGCGGCAGGCCUAAUACAUGCAAGUCGGACGGGAUUCCCGAUUUAUCGGGAUGAGAGUGGCGCACGGGUGCGUAACACGUAUGUAACCUACCCUUGUCAGGGGGGAUAGCCUCUCGAAAGAGAGAUUAAGCCCGCAUAACAUUAUGAUAUAGCAUUAUAUUAUAAUCAAAUAUUUAUAGGACGAGGAUGGGCAUGCGGAACAUUAGCUAGNGGUAAGGUAACGGCUUACCAAGGCGACGAUGUUUAGGGGAUCUGAGAGGAUGACCCCCCACACUGGUACUGAGACACGGACCAGACUCCUACGGGAGGCAGCAGGUAAGGAAUAUUGGUCAAUGGGCGCAAGCCUGAACCAGCCA